rnacentral:rRNA from 1 species
GAUGAACGCUGGCGGCGUGCCUAAUACAUGCCAGUCGAGCGAACGGACGAGAAGCUUGCUCCUCUGAUGUUAGCGGCGGACGGGUGAGUAACACGUGGAUAACCUACCUAUAAGACUGGGAUAACUAUGGGAAACCGUAGCUUAUACCGGAUAAUAUUUUGAACCUCAUGGUUCACAAGUGAAAGACGGUCUUGCUGUCACUUAUAGAUGGAUCCGCGCUGCAUUAGCUAGUUGGUAAGGUGACGGCUUACCAAGGCUACGAUGCAUAGCCGACCUGAGAGGGAGGACGAGCAGACGGGCAGUGAGAAACGGCACACACUCCUGCGGGAGGCAGCGGUAGGGAAUCUUCCGCGAUGGGGGAGUGCCUGACGGAGCAACGCCGCGUGAGUGAUGAAGGUCCUCGGAUCGGAGAACUCUGUUAUUAGGAGAGAACAUAUAUUUAUGUAACUGUGCACAUCUUGACGGUACCUGAAGAAAAAGCCACGGCUAACUACGUG